UGGGGAAUCUUGGACAAUGGGCGAAAGCCUGAUCCAGCCAUGCCGCGUGAGUGACGAAGGUCUUCGGAUUGUAAAGCUCUUUUGGCGGGGACGAUAAUGACGGUACCCGCAGAAUAAGCCCCGGCUAACUUCGUGCCAGCAGCCGCGGUAAUACGAAGGGGGCUAGCGUUGUUCGGAAUUACUGGGCGUAAAGCGCACGUAGGCGGAUUUGUAAGUCAGGGGUGAAAUCCCGGGGCUCAACCUCGGAACUGCCUUUGAUACUGUAGAUCUCGAGUCCGGAAGAGGUGAGUGGAAUUCCUAGUGUAGAGGUGAAAUUCGUAGAUAUUAGGAAGAACACCAGUGGCGAAGGCGGCUCACUGGUCCGGUACUGACGCUGAGGUGCGAAAGCGUGGGGAGCAAACAGGAUUAGAUACCCCCGUAGUCCCUGAGCGGGCUGGCAAGGCGCAU
rnacentral:rRNA from 1 species